rnacentral:rRNA from 1 species
AUUGAACGCUGGCGGCAGGCUUAACACAUGCAAGUCGAACGGUAACAGGUCUAGCUUGCUAGAUGCUGACGAGUGGCGGACGGGUGAGUAACGCGUGGGAAUCUGCCUUCUAGUGGGGGAUAGCCCGGAGAAAUCCGGAUUAAUACCGCCUACGCCUACGGGGGAAAGCCGGGGAGUCUUCGGACCUGGCGCUAGUAGAUGAGCCCGCGUGAGAUUAGCUUGUUGGUGGGGUAAUGGCCUACCAAGGCAACGAUCUCUAGCUGGUCUGAGAGGACGAUCAGCCACACUGGGACUGAGACACGGCCCAGACUCCUACGGGAGGCAGCAGUGGGGAAUAUUGGACAAUGGGCGAAAGCCUGAUCCAGCAAUGCCGCGUGUGUGAAGAAGGCCUGAGGGUUGUAAAGCACUUUCAAUCGUGAAGAAAGUUGCAGGCUAAUACCCUGUGACCCUUGACGUUAACGAUACAAGAAGCACCGGCUAACUCCGUG